CUGGAACAGUUUGGAGAGCUCAGAAGAAGACAGGGAGGUUGUCCCAGCAUCACCUAUUGAGGCUGAUAAGCAAAAGGGAGCUGCUAUGCAAUUUCAGGAUUGGUGCCGAAAUCUUCACCUGUGCUCACACUGUCUGCUUCCACUCACUCAUAAUCCUAUUCUCUCUCUUGAGAGAAAGGCUAAUCAGGAUAAAUACGCUAGUCUGCCUUACUUGGAUUGUGGAAGGACAGAGAGCAGUGUUAGAAUCACUGUUUCAUUACCAGCUGACAUCUGCAUGGUUCUUCUGGGUAAGGACCAGCAACAAGACUGUCUUGUGUGUGUCCUUUUUCUUCCUAGUUCCUCCCAUCUCUCUGCUUAACAUCAAUUCAAUAAAAAUUUCUCAAAACUA